GCUUGUCACGCGUCUUUGAGAUUUUGGAAUUGAAUUAUUUCAACCGUCAUUAUGAACUCGAUCAAGAUCUUUUUGAUUAUCGCAAGUAUUGCCACUGGUUGUAUUUCUUUUGUCAUUGCCAACCCCGUCUCAGUCGAUGACCUGUCGAAAUUUAAGCCCGUACCUCAGACAGAAUAUAUACAAUUUUAAUUCAAUUAAAAUUGUCAGAAGUCUUUCCUAGGAAAGGGAUUUGCCGCCUUGGACUUCAAUUUUUUUUAUUUGAAAUUCUGAUAUCACAAAUAAAUUGUUUUCAACGUGUAAA